rnacentral:rRNA from 1 species
GACGAACGCUGGCGGCGUGCUUAACACAUGCAAGUCGAACGGAAAGGCCCUGCUUGCAGGGUACUCGAGUGGCGAACGGGUGAGUAACACGUGGGUGACCUGCCCUUCACUUCGGGAUAAGCCUGGGAAACUGGGUCUAAUACCGGAUAGGAGCCAUUUUUAGUGUGAUGGUUGGAAAGUUUUUUCGGUGUAGGAUGAGCUCGCGGCCUAUCAGCUUGUUGGUGGGGUAAUGGCCUACCAAGGCGGCGACGGGUAGCCGGCCUGAGAGGGUGGACGGACACAUUGGGACUGAGAUACGGCCCAGACUCCUACGGGAGGCAGCAGUGGGGAAUAUUGCACAAUGGGCGCAAGCCUGAUGCAGCGACGCCGCGUGGGGGAUGACGGCCUUCGGGUUGUAAACUCCUUUCGCUAGGGACGAAGCUUUUUGUGACGGUACCUAGAUAAGAAGCACCGGCUAACUACGUG